GACGAACGCUGGCGGCGUGCUUAACACAUGCAAGUCGAACGGAAAGGCCCUGCUUUUGUGGGGUGCUCGAGUGGCGAACGGGUGAGUAACACGUGUGUAACCUGCCCUUGACUUUGGGAUAACUUCAGGAAACUGGGGCUAAUACCGGAUAGGAGCUCCUGCUGCAUGGUGUGGGUUGGAAAGUUUCGGCGGUUGGGGAUGGACUCGCGGCUUAUCAGCUUGUUGGGGAGGUAGUGGCUUACCAAGGCUUUGACGGGUAGCCGACCUGGGAGGGGGACCGGGCACAAGGGGACUGAGAGAGGGACCAGAAGGGAACGGGCGGCAGCGGGGGAGAAGAUGGCGGAAUGGGCGGGAGCGUGAGAUAGCGAUCCUGGGAGCGGGAAGACGUGUUAUGGGUGGUGAACAGCUGUCUACGGUGACGAAGCGAGAGUGACGGUAAUGAAUAAGAAAGCCCCGGCUAACUACGUG
rnacentral:rRNA from 1 species